AAUAUAUUCGUUUAUUGAUAUUUUUUCUCUUAGAGUCUGUGAAGUUUCUGAGAUAAAAGAGCCAUGGUUGGCGAGACUUAGUUUACCAAGUAUAGGCCUAAUUAUAUUAUAAGCUCAGGGAGGCGGGAUGGUAUCACACAGUAUUCAAGAAAGUGAUCACAGGGCUGCCCACAAACUUUGAUUAUCAUCAUCAUCAGCCAAACUACCAGAAGUAUUUGUAACUAAACCUUAGCCUGUCUACUACAACAUCAGUCACCCCUCAAGGAAGGUUACUUGAUGCUGGUGAGGGACUCUUGAUCUUGGGAACUGGAUCUGUGCUCCAGUUCCCUGAAUUAACCCUGAAUACCUUCCAUCCCCCCCCCACAGGCGCUGUAUAAUCCUACGGGUUUAGCGCUUCCCCCUUAAUUAUAAUAAUAAUAAUAACAACAUCAGUCAAUCUGUUCACAUUGCUAGUUGCUCCAUAAACGUAUUUAUCUACGUUCAUAUUAUCGUGGUGAAUGAAAGCUCUACUCUGGCUUCUAACUGUAAUUCUAUAACAUUCAGCUUCAUCAUUUACUUCUUUCCUAAUAUUAUCCUUAAUGUUAGACACAGAUAUACCGAAGUUAUAUUCUACAUUUUCCAUCAAGGUGCAUUGUUGGGCUAAUUUAUCAACUUUAUCAUGCAGGAGUAAUUCAGCGUGUGAUAGAAUCCAUAAAAAAUUUAACAUUAAUUCCCUUUUCCCUGAUUUUGGAGUAACUGUACCUGGCUUCUCCAAUGAGCAUAUUUUAGUUAUUAUGUGAGUUAAGUGUCCACAAUGAUGACAUAAAAUCAAUAAUAAUCAUGGAGUGAAACUCGGUAUCAUCAGUUAACUUUAGUGCCAUUAGGAUGGCAAACGAUCCAGUUUGCAGUGUAAACGCGCAGUUGUUAAUUCUCAUGCCUAAGUCAACAUAGUUCCCAUCGUUAUCUGGAGAGGUGGCAACGAGAGCAGAUACAGCCCCGCUAGUAGACUCCUGCUUAGAUCCUUCAGUGUAUUUAGUUUGAUACAUUAUUACUAACAAUUAAAGGAGAAGUUUCUUCUUAAGCAGUUGCCUUUGUAAGAGAUUUAAGGACGGAAUUACUGGUUAUGAGCUGUCACAUAGCUGAAAGCCUUGAAGGGAAAGUAAUGGUUUCCAGUGGCAUAGCUGGGAUGUGCAUGGGCAAAAACCCAUGGGGUUAGGAGUUGGAUGUCUGUAAAUGAGUGAAAGAGGUAGAGGUGGAGGAGGGGGAGGAAAGGGGUUAUAAAUCAUGGUAGGAUGUGUGGAGGACGCCAUUAUGUUGAUAUAUUUGAGUCACGUUUCAUUUACACUCUUGAGUGAGGCGCCAGGGCCGGGUUGUGACGUCACUGUGCCACACUUCCAUAGUGCCACUGUCUAUCAUAACACUGCUGUCUAUUUAAGGACGCAGGCUCUAAUUCUCUGAGCUCGAUAUUUUUGUCUCUUAUUCAAAUAAGGAGUUUCAUCGGAGAGUUACAACAGUAACAACUUAUAAGAUCGUAUGUCGGACACCGUGAUUAUACUGGGAAUCUCUCUCUCAAUGUAUAUAUACUGAGAGUUUGCUUUAAUCCAUAUUUGCUUAAUCCAUAUUAUGUUUAGGUGAAUAGCGACCUUAAUGAUCCUCGUUUAGUCGAUACGUUAAACCAACAUAAUGACAUUGUUACAGAGUGUAGCUACAUCCAGGAAAAAAUGAGUCAGAAUUAUCCCAGGGAGAGGGUAGUUACCACUGGUCUGGACGGAUUGUGACCGUAAUGAUGUUAGUGUAGUGGACAGGCCUUAAGCCCAUUAAAGUAACUGUCGUAAUGGUGAGGAUGAUCCAUCAUACAGCCUCUCACACCAGGGGAUUGAAAAUAAUGGAGGGUAAGAAAGUUUACUUAUAUCUCUCAAUUUAUCUUUCCCUCUGCCUCUGCCUGUCACUGCUCUUCCCUCCCCCCCUUUACCAAUCUCUCUUCUCCUCUGUGUAUUACUAGGUUAUAUACACUGAGAGGUGCAUGUCCCGCAGUAUAUAUAUAAUGAGAUUUUGCUUUAAUCCUUAUUCUAGAGAUUAUAAUGAGUAUCUUUUUAUAUUUAUAGAGAAUGAUAAAUCCACUGGAGUCAUGCAGAGCCAAGAGCAUGGGAUGCAAUAAAAGUUAAUGCAAGAAGUGGAGGGAAGCUCCAUUUUCCUGGAUCAAUAGCUUUUCAUCGAUACCAAGGCACCUCCACUGAAGGGUUUAGAGAUUAUAGCAUUCUUGACAAGUGAAAUAUAGCUUUAAUUAAUGAUCCUCGUGUAGUCGAAGAGUUUUAAACCCAUAAACCAACUUACAAAGCUCAUUUUUUACCCUCUUACCUUUUGCUUCUUUCAAUUCUUUAGACAAUUUCUCUUUCUCCCUCUCCCUUCCUACACUUAUUCGGUCCCUCUCACUUUCCUCUCAUCUUCCUCAUGAAAAUGAGUGAUAAUAAGAAAAGUCAGCAUGAAGCAGUGGGUCCAUCACACUCAGUUAACAUAUCAAGAUGAAGCACGCUUCCACUUACCAUUCAAAACAAUCGAAGUUUUCUUUACAAUAUUUUUUUAGGUUUUUAUGUCUUAUUUUAACAAUUAGAAAUAUAGCAGGCUAUAUUGUUUUAUUACUGGUGGUACAAGGCGGUAAGCAAUUAAUGCACCCCGGUACCAGCACUCUGUUGACACUGGUGGGGUGGGGUGCCCAGUACCACUGAAAGUUGACCUCUGGUUGGUGGCUGGGGAUGCCUCGUACCGGGGAGAUUUAGUCCUUCUUGCAGACAGUCGUGGCAAUGAGCUUAGCAACCACAGAUAGGGAAGGAUGGUUAAUCGAAUUUAAACCCUACUGACUACAUGAGUUUACACCCUUUCACCACUAGUCAAGGAUACCUUAAUCCCUAAAGCAGGGAUUAAAGUAAACUAUUAGUGUGUAAAGAGUGAGAGGCACACACUUCUUCUGGAAGACAGCUCAGCCAGUUGUUUGAUACUGAGACUCGGUCAUUACUUCUCUGCUGUUCUCACUCAUGCUCUAUGAACUCUUAAUCAUGUUCAAACUUUUCCCUUCACUUAUCCAGUCCUCAGUUUUUCUUCACAUCAACUACAGUUCAACCUCUAUUUUAAUCCCAAUCAUAAAAUUUAUGACAUGUGAGCCAGAGACAGCAUUACUGAACGCCUCGAGCUUUCCACAGGAAUCAGAUCCAACCCACUACGUAAGUACAUGUGAUAGGAUUUAAACCUAACUUAGUAACUAUUUAAGUACAUACCAUAGGAUUUACAUAUAACUCACUAACUGCGUAAAUACUCAUUACAUAAGGACAUAUUUAUAAUUAUUUUGAAAUAAUGUGACAGACACUCGAGGAUACAUACACCGAGAGGUGUAUGUAUUUCAGCGUUUAUUUUUGUAUUUUUGUCUGGUGGUGAAAAGUGUAGUCGAAAGGCUUGAAACUCCAUUAACCAUCAGUGGAGUCAAAAGUGAAAAUAAAAUUAAUAUAAACACAUCUAUCUUUUAAUACAUCGAUGAAAUGAACAUUGAUAGUAAUAACUAAUAAGAAAAAUGGGAUAAAAAAUAAAAUAGAAUAAAAAUAAAAAAUGGAAUAAAAAAAUAGAAUAAUAAUAAUAAUAAUAAUAAUAAUAAUAAUAAUAAUAAUAAUAAUAAUAAUAAUAAUAAUAAUACCUAACUAUAAAUAAAUAACUAGAAAUUUUAGCUAUCUACUAAAUAAAAAAUACUAUAUGUGAAAAGUCCAAGCAAUAAAUCAUAUGAAGGAAUAGUAAUAAUAACACAAUAGUAAUUAUACUAAAUAUAACACUAAUGAUAGAAUAUAGAAAAUAUAUUCCAGGGGUAUCACCGGUAACCACAACCCAAUCUUUAUAUAUAUAUAUAUAUAUAUAUAUAUAUAUAUAUAUAUAUAUUAUAUAUAUAUAUAUAUAUAUAUAUAUAUAUAUAUAUAUAUAUAUAUAUGUAUGUAUAUAUUAUAUACAUACAUACAUACAUACGGAUAAAUAUUACACUGUAAGCACUGACGGAUGUUGUAGUAGCCAGGGUAAGGCUUAGUUACAAGAACAUUUGGAAGGUGGGCACAUAGUGAAAAUAAAUGCAAAUUUUGUUGUCAGUCAUAUAUGUAUAAUAGCAAGUACUGCCCACACUUACCAGUUAUAAGUAAUUAUGUUAAAGGUACCCGUAAGGGUAUUAUCAUCUCACCGAAGAAUUCAUUAUUAAGUAGUGAGUCUGUUUCUUGAACGGGGUGUGACACCUAGUGGAUGCAAAUACGCGUUUUCACAAAUAAAAUGACAUAACCCGCAUUGUAUGUUUUAUUUACAUACUGGACAGGGAAGCUUAGCCACUGAACGAGUCAUCAUUUGAUUAAGACCCUCGUCAGUACACUGUAUAAACACUAUGUGAUGUACGGGUGAGUUACAAAGCAGUACAGCAGGUUUGAUGUCAUAUGUGGAUGGGAUGUGAGUGGGUGUUGGAGUCACCUGUUGGGUUUCCCGUGCAAAAUGAGGUUAGAUGUCCCAUGAUUCCACUCUAGUGUUGGAGGCUUGUAUGACUGCUAUAAUGUUGGAGGGCCUGUACGAUUGUUAUAGUGUUAGAUGUCUGUAUGA